rnacentral:rRNA from 1 species
CGUAACAAGGUCUCCGUUGGUGAACCAGCGGANGGAUCAUUACCGAGUUUACAACUCCCAAACCCCUGUGAACAUACCUUAUGUUGCCUCGGCGGAUCAGCCCGCGCCCCGUAAAAAGGGACGGCCCGCCGCAGGAACCCUAAACUCUGUUUUUAGUGGAACUUCUGAGUAUAAAAAACAAAUAAAUCAAAACUUUCAACAACGGAUCUCUUGGUUCUGGCAUCGAUGAAGAACGCAGCAAGAUGCGAUAAGUAAUGUGAAUUGCAGAAUUCAGUGAAUCAUCGAAUCUUUGAACGCACAUUGCGCCCGCCAGUAUUCUGGCGGGCAUGCCUGUUCGAGCGCCAUUUCAACCCUCAAGCCCAGCUUGGUGUUGGGAGCUGCAGUCCUGCUGCACUCCCCAAAUACAUUGGCGGUCACGUCGAGCUUCCAUAGCGUAGUAAUUUACACAUCGUUACUGGUAAUCGUCGCGGCCACGCCGUUAAACCCCAACUUCUGAAUGUUGACCUCGAAUCAGGUAGGAAUACCCGCUGAACUUAAGC